GUAGUGGGUGUAACGUACCUACUAGCCUAUGACGGGUAUGGGCCUUGAGAGAGGGAGCCCAGAGUUGGAUUCUGAGACACGAAUCCAGGCCCUACGGGGCGCAGCAGUCGCGAAAACUUCACACUGGGGGCAACCCCGAUGAGGGAAUUCCUAGUGCUAGCACAUUAGUGUUAGCUUUUCUUCAGCAUAGAUAACUGGAGGAAUAAGGGCUGGGUAAGACGGGUGCCAGCCGCCGCGGUAAUACCUGCAGCCCAAGUGGUGGUCGAUAUUAUUGAGUCUAAAACGUUCGUAGCCGGUUUAAUAAAUCCUUGGGUAAAUCGGGGGGCUUAACCUUCCGAAUUCCGAGGAGACUGUUAAACUUGGGACCGGGAGAGGCAAGAGGUACUUCUGGGGUAGGGGUAAAAUCCUGUAAUCCUAGAAGGACCACCGGUGGCGAAGGCGUCUUGCUAGAACGGAUCCGACGGUGAGGGACGAAGCCCUGGGGCGCAAACGGGAUUAGAUACCCCGGUAGUCCAGGGUGUAAACGCUGCAGACUUGGUGUUUGGAGGCCCUUCGGGGGCAUUCAGUGCCGGAGAGAAGUUGUUAAGUCUGCUACUUGGGGAGUACGUCCGCAAGGAUGAAACUUAAAGGAAUUGGCGGGGGAGCACCGCAACGGGAGGAGCGUGCGGUUUAAUUGGAUUCAACACCGGAAAACUCACCAGGGGAGACUGUUACAUGAAAGCCAGGCUAAUGACUUUGCUAGAUUUUCAGAGAGGUGGUGCAUGGCCGUCGUCAGUUCGUACCGUAAGGCGUUCUCUUAAGUGAGAUAACGAACGAGACCCUCACCAAUAGUUGCUACUUUACCCUCCGGGGUGGAGGCACACUAUUGGGACCGCUGGCGCUAAGUCAGAGGAAGGAGAGGUCAACGGUAGGUCAGUAUGCCCCGAAUCUCCUGGGCUACACGCGCGCUACAAAGGGCGGGACAAUGGGCUCCGACACCGAAAGGUGAAGGCAAUCUCGAAACCCGUCCGUAGUUCGGAUUGAGGGUUGUAACUCACCCUCAUGAAGCUGGAUUCCGUAGUAAUCGCGAAUCAACAACUCGCGGUGAAUAUGCCCCUGCU
rnacentral:rRNA from 1 species